AUACCAGUCCUUUUCAGGACUACAAACACGUUAUCACAAGUUUUU
rfam:Gallus gallus isolate RJF #256 breed Red Jungle fowl, inbred line TCD001 chromosome 1, whole genome shotgun sequence.